rnacentral:rRNA from 1 species
CCUACGGGGCGCAGCAGUGAGGAAUAUUGGUCAAUGGCCGAGAGGCUGAACCAGCCAAGUCGCGUGAGGGAAGACGGCCCUACGGGUUGUAAACCUCUUUUGUCGGGGAGCAAAGAGAGUCACGUGUGACUCAUUGAGAGUACCCGAAGAAAAAGCAUCGGCUAACUCCGUGCCAGCAGCCGCGGUAAUACGGAGGAUGCGAGCGUUAUCCGGAUUUAUUGGGUUUAAAGGGGGCGCAGGCGGAGGUGCAAGUCAGCGGUCAAAUUGCGGGGCUCAACCCCGCACUGCCGUUGAAACUGCGUCCC